AGGACGAACGCUGGCGGCGUGCCUAACACAUGCAAGUCGAGCGGGGACAUGCGACGGAGUCGAAGUUUCGGAUGGAGACAAAGAUGUAUUGUUCUAGCGGCGGACGGGUGAGUAACGCGUGAGCAACCUGUCCCUUACAGGGGGAUAACACAGCGAAAGUUGUACUAAUACCGCAUAAGACCACAGAGUGACAUCGCUCAGGGGUCAAAGGAGCAAUCCGGUAAGGGGUGGGCUCGCGUCCGAUUAGAUAGUUGGUGAGGUAACGGCCCACCAAGUCGACGAUCGGUAGCCGACCUGAGAGGGUGAUCGGCCACAUUGGGACUGAGACACGGCCCAAACUCCUACGGGAGGCAGCAGUGGGGAAUAUUGGGCAAAUGGGGGAAACCCUGACCCAGCAACGCCGCGUGAGGGAAGAAGGUUUUCGGAUCGUAAACCUCUGUCCUUGGUGAAGAGGAAGAGACGGUAGCCAAGGAGGAAGCCCCGGCUAACUACGUGCCAGCCGCGGC
rnacentral:rRNA from 1 species